AAAUGGCGUUACGGGUAUCCAAUUUUAUAAAUGUUGGAUUGAGAAGGCUUUGCCCUACCGUUAGAACUUGAACUAGGUCAUACUAGCGUAAGGAAAUGCCAUUAAAAGUUA
rnacentral:ncRNA from 2 species